rnacentral:rRNA from 1 species
GAUGAACGCUGGCGGCGUGCUUAACACAUGCAAGUCGAACGGUAAGGCCCUGCUUGCUUGGUGUGCUCGUGUGGCGAACGUGUGUGUAACAUGAGUAUACCCUGCUCUACUCUUUGGUAUACCUUCAGGAAUGUGUGUCUAAUCCCAUAUCGGCGCCCCCCCCGCAUUGUGGGUUGUGGAACUUUUGUGCGGUUGGGUUUGGACUCGCGGUUUAUCAGUUUGUUGGUGGGGUAGUGGCUUACCAAGGGCUUGACGGAUAGCCGGCCUGGGAGGGGGACCGGCCACAUGGGGACUGAGGAACGGCCCAGACUCCAACGGGAGGAAGCAGUGGGGAAUAUUGCACAAUGGGCGCAAGCCUGAUGAAGAGACGCCGCGUGCGGGAUGACGGCCUUCGGGUUGUAAACCGCUUUCGGUUGGGAAGAAGCGUAAGUGACGGUAACGGAAAAAGAAGCACCGGCUAACUACGUG